GUACUGAACUUGGAAAGGGAGAUUCCAGGAUCAUGAAGAUGGUCUCCCCAGCAUGAGAUUCCUUUAUUAUACUUUGGAUGUAUUGGCCCCUAGGGUUUCCCCAAAUUCUAGGAACUUGACUAUAUAAUUUGUGGUAGUGGGGGACUGUAUUCAUGCUACCCCUUC
ensembl:snRNA U1 U1 spliceosomal RNA